GACGAACGCUGGCGGCGUGCUUAACACAUGCAAGUCGAACGGAAAGGCCCUGCUUUUGUGGGGUGCUCGAGUGGCGAACGGGUGAGUAACACGUGAGUAACCUGCCCUUGACUUUGGGAUAACUUCAGGAAACUGGGGCUAAUACCGGAUAGGAGCUCCUGCUGCAUGGUGGGGGUGGGAAAGUUUCGGCGGUUGGGGAUGGACUCGCGGCUUAUCAGCUUGUUGGUGGGGUAGUGGCUUACCAAGGCUUUGACGGGUAGCCGGCCUGAGAGGGUGACCGGCCACAUUGGGACUGAGAUACGGCCCAGACUGCUACGGGAGGCAGCAGUGGGGAAUGUUGCACAAUGGGCGGUAGCCUGAUGCAGCAACGCCGCGUGCGGGAUGACGGCCUUCGGGUUGUAAACCGCUUUCGCCUGUGACGAAGCGUGAGUGACGGUAAUGGGUAAAGAAGCACCGGCUAACUACGUG
rnacentral:rRNA from 1 species